rnacentral:lncRNA from 1 species
AAAUACCACUUUUUUCAGUUCCAGCAAAAUAAUUUCUUGCUUUUCACUCUGAAUUUUUCCUAGAGGGGGAAAAAAAAUGUCGUAAAAAUAACCAAAAGUGUAAGAGUUUGCCAUUACCUGUGAUCAGUUGUGGAAUCUCUGUUUCUGAAGAAAAAAAAAGUAAAUAUUUACCCCUGAAAAAUAAAACUUUCUGUAUUUUGUUUAAUUGUGGCCAAAAGGAGAACCCGUAGUUCCAUUAUUUAGUCUUGUACAUCCUUGCAGUUUCAGACAAGACUUCGUAGCUCUUCCUGCCAAUAUGGCUACAAAGACAUCCCAAACCCCCAACCCCGCAUAGUGGAAUGACUUUGCUUGGGCACAAAGGUGUCAUUGCAGCGUUCAGAAAUGGAUACCCGAGUGGUCUGCCUGCUCCUUUGCCUGUUUGAUUUGUAACACAAUUUUCUUGGCUUGGGACUGUGGGGGGGAAGCACCUGGCGAGAAAGAAAGAUGACCUGGGUACAAGGAGGCUCGAACAAAAUCCUUGUCCACGUGAGAGAGAAGGAAGAUGGCCCAAAAGAGACAGAGUAAACCUCGUCCAAACAGGCAGAUCGUUCUCAGCACAUGACAGAAGACCGUCCGGCUGCUGGCAUCUGCUUCCCAGAAAUAAGCACGAAUUAUUAUAUUAACUGAUGAGACAAAAAGGUGGGAGGGGGAUUGCAAACACCCCGAAACAGCUACUGGUUUUGCAGAAUGUUUCCAAGAGCUUUUUUUUGUGUUUCAGCCCAGAGUAAGGCAGACUUCCAGUUACUGCAAAACCAAAAAGAGCUGCUGCACAGGUGACAAGCGUAGAUGUUUGAGGGGGAUUCAAGCAGGAGACUUGAACAGCUGUUUGUGGUUUCAGUUGCUGACAGCACUCAGCUCUUUCUUAUUCAGACAUAAAGAAGGUUUGGGGCCCUUAUGCACCAGGUGUUGGAGUCCUUGCAUGCCUUGGAAGUUGAACUAAAAGCAGUACAAAUUAAAUUAAAUUAAAAAAAAAAAAAAAGGUACAAUGAAAGACUUCUCAUUAGAUGCUCAUGCUUUGAGUUUGUGGCUAUUGGCUCACCGGGUGAAGUCUUCAAGUCUUCAGAGCAGGAUGCAGAACAGUGCUCUGUCCCCAGCGGUGGAAGGCAAACGUGCUCACUGGUGAGGAAAAGUUAAUUAGUUAAUUAAAAUAAAAAGGGGGGUGGAGGGGGCA